UACGUAGGGUGCAAGCGUUGUCCGGAAUUAUUGGGCGUAAAGCGCGUGUAGGCGGCUUGGUAAGUCUGGUGUGAAAUCUUGGGGCUCAACCCCAAGCCUGCACUGGAUACUGCCUGGCUAGAGUCCGGGAGGGGAGAGCGGAAUUCCCAGUGUAGCGGUGAAAUGCGCAGAUAUUGGGAAGAACACCGGUGGCGAAGGCGGCUCUCUGGAACGGUACUGACGCUGAGACGCGAAAGCGUGGGGAGCGAACAGG
rnacentral:rRNA from 1 species